rnacentral:rRNA from 1 species
UUUGGACAAUAUGCGAAAGCAUGAUCCAGCGAACUAAUGGAAACGAAGAAGAUAGCGAUAUUGUAAAGUUUAGUGCGAGAAUUAACAAAUGAGUAAAUUCUAAGAGAAGCUCUGGCUAAUACAUGUGCCAGCAGCCGCGGUAAUACAUGAGGAGCAAGCGUUACCCACAUUGACUGGGUGUAUUAAAUACAUAGGUGAUUACAAUUACUAUUAUAAAAAUCAAUUAAAAAACCAAUAUAAUAGAUUUUUUGUAAAUGAUAAUUAAAUAUAAGAAUAGGAGAUUUAUAGAACAACGAUUAAAUGUAGUUACACUAUAAAGCUUGCCAUAAACUAAGGUGCUUUUCUAUAUUUAAUUAUAGCUGAUGUAUGAAAGUAUGGGUAUCGAUAAGGAUUAGUUUCCCUAGUAGUCCGUACUGUAAAAGAUGAAUACUUCAUGAAUUAAAAAUUCAGGGAUAGCUAACGCAAAGUAUUCUACUCGGGGAGUAUAAUCGCAAGAUUAAAACUUAACUGAAUUGGCGGG